rnacentral:rRNA from 1 species
UACGUAGGGUGCAAGCGUUAAUCGGAAUUACUGGGCGUAAAGCGUGCGCAGGCGGUUAUGUAAGACAGAUGUGAAAUGCCCGGGACUUGAACCUGGGAACUCGCGAUUUGUGACUGCAUGGCUAGAGUUUGGCAGAGGGGGGUAGAAUUCCACGUGUAGCAGUGAAAUGCGUAGAUAUGUGGAGGAACACCGAUGGCGAAGGCAGCCCCCUGGGUCAAGACUGACGCUCAUGCACGAAAGCGUGGGGAGCAACAGGAUAGAACCGA